AUCUACAGCCAUGCCACCUGAAUGCAGCAGAUCUCCUCUGAUCUGGGAAGCUAAGCAGGAUUGAGACAGGGUCUCACUCUGCUGUCCAGGCUGGAGUGCAGUGGCAUGAUC
rnacentral:rRNA from 1 species